rnacentral:lncRNA from 1 species
CCCAGGCCCCUGCCUCACUCUGCCCUCCUAGGUCCUGGCACUCAGCAGAUGAGUACUCACCCUUCCGGUCCCAGUACCCUGCCCUGACUGGCACAAGGUCCUGGCUUGGCCUUAGAGGCAGAAGUUGAAGGAUAUAGUGACCCCUAUGACAAGCUGUCCCCUUGUGACCUCAGGGACGCCCUUUCUGUUGAUUGCUUGAGGGUGAGCAGAGGUCAGGGCUCCCACUCGUUUCUGGAGCACCUGAGAUGUGCGUAGGUUUGGUGAGCACCGAUUCUGUAGGAGGCACUGCUGGGGAGCUUUGCUCUCUCCCAGAGCCUUCCGGGUGGACAUCGUGUCCACAUUACAGGUCAAGGGGCUGAUGUUCACAGCGCUCCUUUCAUUCUCCUAAGAUCUUGGAGCUGAUAAGAGCUGGGUCAGGAGUAAAGCCCAGGUCUGUCCAUGGAGCCCAAGCCCCAGGCUCCCUGAUCACUGAAGGGCAGAGGGGGUGAACGUCGCCAUGGAAAUGAGUCCGUAUCUUCAAAUCAGACUGCAGCGAGAGAGGUCACUACACAAGGGCACAGGCAGGUGAGCUGGCAACAGCCCUGCCUGUGAGCCCUGGGCCUACACACUUACGAUUGCCUGGCUGCAUGCUGGAAACCACCCAGACACACACAGGCAGGUGCUGCCCCUCCUCCCGGGUGGAGGAAGCAGGAAAAGGUGGCAGCCAGAGGUGGCGGGCAAGGCUGCUGGGCUGUGGUGGCUGGGGCCCCAGCCAGGAUGGGCUCGGUCUGUGCUCUGGCUCUGCCCCUUCUAAUCCUCUGCUGGGAGGCUGGGGACUCCUGGAACUUUAAAGACCCCAGCCCCAGCGGACCAUGCCCACUGGUGACGACAAACACCACUAAGGUGCUUACCGAGAUGCCAGGGAUCAGCACAAGCUUGGAGGAAGCCUUCCUGACCACUGACCUUGCUAAGACCACAGCACCAGGCCGCCUUUCUGUGGAGACUCCAACCCUGGGCACUGAGACCCUUUCCAAGACCUUAACCUCAGCUGCCGCUGCUUCCAAAGAAGAGACCAAGGACACUCGGACCAUUUCCCUUGCUCAGACACCUGGGAAGUCCAGACCACCUUUUCCUGUCACAAAGUUCAGGGACACACAGACCCCUUUCCCUGACACAGAAACCAGGGACCCCCAGACCACCUCCCCUGUCACAGAUACCAGAGACACCCCAACCAUUCCUUCUGCAUCAGAGAGCAGGUAUACCCAGACCAUUUCCCCGGCAUCAGAUUCCAGCACACUCACAAAAAUAAUCCCUUCUGACCCCAUGGCUGCAAUCACCUUCCCUGUAGAGACUUUGGCCACAGGCAGCAGCUCCAUGAGGACUAGAGAGACCACAGUUGAGGCUCAUCCAGGCAGGAACCCCAGGAAAGUCAUCUCUGACACCCUUUAUACCGAUGACAGCUCUGAGGAGGCAAGAUGGAUCACAACCAACAUCUUGACACUGGUGCACACCACUGGGGAAGCUGAGAGCCUGUCCUCCUACAGCAGAUUUUCCUCAGACAACUCUGUGGCCAUCAUCACCACCUCCCAAGCCCUGGGUCCUGACAUUGCCACCCCCAGCAAGGCCUUGGCCCCUUCCAGCACUACCCACAAUAAGUUCCUCAGGAAGACAGAAACAGCUGCCGUCAUCUCUGGGACUUCAGACACAGAUCACAGCUCCACGGGAGUGAAGGUCUUGUCCACCUCUGAGACAUCAGUUUUGUCUGCCUCCACUGAGGCAAAGUCACCCAGGCCCAGCCCCACAUCCCCUGCUGAGACCCUGUCCACAGCCAGUGCCUCAGAGUUAGCCACCCCCAACACCACCCUUGAGGCCUCACUGCCCAAUAGCACCACAGAAACAGAAGUAACACCAGGCUCGACCCCUACCCCUGGGGAAACUCAGGUGACAGUUAGCAUGGCCCCCUUGGGAGAAACCUCAGCCCUCUCUCAACAGAGCUACACCACGGUGUCAGGAGCAGUUACAGUCUCCGCCAAGGCUGCGUCAACAGUGGACGAAAUGACUUCCUCUGCUGGAUCUCCAGCUUCAGUCUCCAGCUUUUCAGAAGGGCCCACCGUCACGAACUCCACCCUUUCAGAGACUUUUACCACAGAAGACACAACCAGCAGAGCUGUCUCCACCAGCAGGGGCCUUUUUCUUUCUGUCCAUCUGACUACAGCCAGCAGCAGCCAAGAGACAAACAUCUCAGCCAUGACCAUGACCUCACCAAAAACCCCUUCAGAGACUUUUACCCCAGACAGGGCCUUCCCCACCAGCAGCUCUCUUUCUCCUGUCCAUCUGACUACAGCCAGCAGCGGCCAAGAGACAAGAGUCACCUCAGCCAUGACCAUGACCUCACCAAAGGCCGCUUCAGAGACUUUUAUUACAGAGGGCACAACCAGCAGGGCCUUCUCCACCACGAGCAGCCCUCUUUCUUCUGUCCUUCCAACUACAGCCAGUCUCAGUCAAGAGACAACCGUCAUCUCACCCUUGACCAUGACCUCACCAAAGGCCCCUUCAGAGACUUUUACCACAGAGGGCGCAACCAGCAGGGAUUUCCUCACCAGCAGGAUCUCUCUUUCUUCUGUCCUUCCAACUACAACCAGCAGCAGCCAAGACACAAGAGUCACCUCACCCAUGACUGUGACCUCACCGAAGACCCAGAGGAAGCCCCCAACAGCCAUAUCCUCCACUGUUUGGACAAGGCUGACUCCAGAAGUUACUGCAGGUGGAGAUGGAGGCUUCCUCCUCAUGAGGCUGAGAGUGGCCUCCACAGAAGACCUCACAGAGCCUACAAAGGCAGAGAGGCUGGUUCAGCAGCUCCAGUGUGAACUGCAAGCCAGCUUGCCUGUUGCCCAACUCUCCUUACUGCAUGUCCAGAGAAGCUGAAGAAUAUCAGCUGCAGCCAGGCGAGUCCCCUGUGCCAGAGGAACAACCCAAAAGGAACUAUACCCUGAGCCCGCCGACAGACUAGAGCUGCGUGACUGUGCUGAUGUGGACCCAGAAAGUUCCCACGAAGGUCAGCUGGUUCAACCCCUUACCCGGAAGUGAUUGCAGGAUCCUGGCUCACUUCUGUGUGGAGAAGGGGCUUCCCCUGUGCCCAGCAGUGUCCUUCACUCCCUGGGCCCAUGCGUUAUAGUCAAUAAAGACAGACCUGAUCCCUCAUCCCUGCACUUCUAUGUGUUCUGCAUACUGUGAGCAUUUAGGUCACAUAGCUGUCUUAGUCACUUUUCUCAUCGCUGGGACCCAAAACCUGAAGGAGGAGAGGUUAUCCUGGCACAUGGUUUCAGUGCAUGGUCAGGCAGCUCCAAGGCAGGAAGGCCUGGUGGAAGAGGCUGGCAGAGGAAACUGUUCACAUCACAGCAGCCAGGGAGCAGAGUGUGAAGAGAGGAGCCCAAGAGGGAGAUAAACCCUUUCUCAUCACACCCUCUGGGCCCUCUCUUCCUACAAGGCCCCAUCUCCUAACGGCUAGUCAACUAUGGUGCCCCCAAGAUCCAGUCACCCCGAAGCCCUGUCUCUCAGCACGUGAGUGUUUGGGGUGUCAUUCUGGAUCUAAAUCACAAUACAAGUAGGAUCUCUCUGGCCUUCAUGGUCGCCGCUUCUUGGCUUGCACCUGGAUCAUGGCACUUACUGAGGCCAGCCCUACAGUCUGUUGAACCUUGAGUUCUGUGUUAGUCCUCUUAUUGGAGAUAAUUAAUUCAUUAAGAGAAAAGAUUUAUUUUGGCUCACAGUUUUGGCAUUUCCAGUCUGAGGUCAGGUAGAUCUUUUGCUUUGGGGCUCAGGUGGGCUUGCUGAAUGGCAGCAGUGGGAUGAUGGAUGCGUGAUGGAGGUGACUGCUCAGCUCAUGGCCAGAAAGCAAG